AUUGAACGCUGGCGGCAGGCCUAACACAUGCAAGUCGAGCGAGCGGCGGACGGGUGAGUAAUGUAUGGGGACUGCCCGAUAGAGGGGGAUAACUACUGGAAACGGUAGCUAAUACCGCAUACUAUCGGAUAACCCAUAUGGGAUUAGCUAGUAGGUGAGGUACUGGCUCACCUAGGCGACGAUCCCUAGCUGGUCUGAGAGGAUGAUCAGCCACCCUGGGAUUGAGACACGGCCCAGACUCCUGCGGAGGCAGCAGUGAGGAAUAUUGCACAAUGGGCGCAAGCCUGAUGAAGCCAGGCGGCGUGUAUGAAGAAGGCCCUAGGGUUGUAAAGUACUUUCAGUCGGGAGGCGUUACCGGCAGAAGAAGCACCGGCUAACACCGUGCCAGCAGCCGCGGUAAUAC
rnacentral:rRNA from 1 species